CAAUAAGCGGAGGAAAAGAAACCAACAGGGAUUGCCCCAGUAACGGCGAGUGAAGCGGCAACAGCUCAAAUUUGAAAUCUGGCCCCCCCCGCGGGGGCCCGAGUUGUACUUUGGAGAGGAUGCUUUGGGCGCGGCGCCGGCCGAGUUCCCUGGAACGGGACGCCAGAGAGGGUGAGAGCCCCGUACGGCCGGACGCCCAGCCCGUGCAAAGCUCCUUCGACGAGUCGAGUAGUUUGGGAAUGCUGCUCAAAACGGGAGGUAAAUUUCUUCUAAAGCUAAAUACCGGCCAGAGACCGAUAGCGCACAAGUAGAGUGAUCGAAAGAUGAAAAGCACUUUGAAAAGAGGGUUAAACAGCACGUGAAAUUGUUGAAAGGGAAGCGCCUGGGGCCAGACGUGCGCCCCGCGGACCACCCGGCGCCCCGCGCGCCGGGGCACGCCGCGGGCGCGCAGGCCAGCAUCGGCUCCCCGCCAGGGGGACAAGGGCCGCGGGAACGUAGCUCCUCCGGGAGCGUUAUAGCCCGCGGCGCCAUGCCCCUGGGGGGGCCGAGG
rnacentral:rRNA from 1 species